AGUGAACGCUGGCGGUAGGCCUAACACAUGCAAGUCGAACGGCAGCACAGUAAGCGCUUGCUCUUACGGGUGGCGAGUGGCGGACGGGUGAGGAAUACAUCGGAAUCUACUUUUUCGUGGGGGAUAACGUAGGGAAACUUACGCUAAUACCGCAUACGACCUACGGGUGAAAGCAGGGGAUCUUCGGACCUUGCGCGAUUGAAUGAGCCGAUGUCGGAUUAGCUAGUUGGCGGGGUAAGGGCCCACCAAGGCGACGAUCCGUAGCUGGUCUGAGAGGAUGAUCAGCCACACUGGAACUGAGACACGGUCCAGACUCCUACGGGAGGCAGCAGUGGGGAAUAUUGGACAAUGGGCGCAAGCCUGAUCCAGCCAUACCGCGUGGGUGAAGAAGGCCUUCGGGUUGUAAAGCCCUUUUGUUGGGAAAGAAAAGCAGCAGGUUAAUACCCCGCUGUUCUGACGGUACCCAAAGAAUAAGCACCGGCUAACUUCGUG
rnacentral:rRNA from 1 species